rnacentral:misc_RNA from 1 species
GACGAAGAACGCAGCGAAAUGCGAUAAGUAGUGUGAAUUGCAGAAUUCAGUGAAUCAUCGAAUCUUUGAACGCACAUUGCGCCCCUUGGUAUCCCGAGGGGCAUGCCUGUUCGAGCGUCAUUUCACCACUCAAGCCUGGCUUGGUGUUGGGCGACGUCCCCUUUGGGGACGCGCCUCGAAACGCUCGGCGGCGUGGCACCGGCUUUAAGCGUAGCAGAAUCUUUCGCUUUGGAAGUCGGGGCCCCGUCUGCCGGAAGACCUACUCGCAAGGUUGACCUCGGAUCAGGCAGGGAUACCCGCUGAACUUAAGCAUAUCAAUAAGCGGAGGA